UCCAGGGUAGCCCGGGUGGCAUCUGCCUGGUAAGCGGAACACCGUGGGUUCGAUUCCCAUCCCUGGAC